CUUCACCCAGUCAUCUCAGAGACAAAGGGAAAACAAAAUCUAGAGAGAGAGAGUGAGCAUGAACAGAAAGAAGCUCAAGAUCCUGCUCUCUCUCUUCGCUUUCAACUCCAUCUAUCUCUACUUCUUCUCCUCCGACCACCACCUCCUCUUCAUCCACCAUAAACUCCUCCCGGGAAACCACAAGGCCUCCCCGGAGAACCCCAAAACUCCGCCGGGAAAACACCCUCAUUUCCCUGUCACCCCCCGCGCCAAGCCAUGGCCAAUUCUCCCGUCUUACCUUCCGUGGUCUCUGAACCCCACCGUGGCUCUUCGUUCCUGCGAGGGCUACUUCGGGAACGGCUUCACGCGCCGAAUCGACCUUCGACGUUCUUCGGUGGAAAGGGAAUCGGGGAUCUCCGGCGGGGGCGGGUGGUUCAGGUGCUGGCACAGCGGGACGUUGCAGAGUUCGGUGUGUGAGGGAGGGAGGGUGAGGAUGACGCCGGAGAGGAUUCAGAUGUCGAUCGGAGGGGAGAGGUUGGAGAAUGUGAUUGGGAGGAAGGAGGAGGAGGAGUUGCCGGAGUUUGAGGCCGGAGCCUUUGAGGUUGAUGCUGGGGAACGGUUUGGUCAGAGGAAGCUUGUGGAUGAAGAGUUUCUGAAUCGAUUUGUGCCGCAGGGUGCGAUUUCACGGCAUACUAUGCGUGGCUUGCUUGAUUCGAUUCGAUUGGUUGGAUCCAGUGAGUUCAAGUGCGAUCAGUGGAUCGAGGAACCAACACUUCUAGUCACACGCUUUGAGUAUGCAAACCUUUUUCACACAUUUACAGAUUGGUACAGUGCAUAUGUUGCUUCUAGAGUGACAGGCUUACCCAAUCGACCUCAUUUGGUUUUUAUAGAUGGCCACUGUAGGGCACCUUUAGAAGAAACAUGGAAAGCGCUGUUUUCAAGUCUUAAAUACGCUAAAAACUUUAGUGGUUCAGUUUGUUUUCGUCAUGCAGUUCUCGUGCCUUUGGGAUAUGAGACUGCUUUAUUUAAGGGGCUGUCUGAAAACAUAAAUUGUCAUGGAGCAUUUGCACAUGAUCUGUGGCAAAACCCUGAUGACUUGAAAACUGCACGAUUAUCUGAGUUUGGAGAAAUGAUAAGAGCAGCUUUUGGGUUUCCAGUUGGAAGACACCGUGUUCUGAAGCCUGCCUCUGGUCACAAUAUCCUCUUUGUUAGGCGAGAAGAUUAUGUAGCUCACCCACGUCAUGGUGGUAAGGUUGAAUCAAGACUUAGCAAUGAACAGGAGGUGUUUGAUUCUCUAAAGAACUGGACAUCUAAUUAUUUGGAAUGCAAAAUAAACCUUGUCAAUGGAUUAUUUGCUCACAUGUCAAUGAAAGAGCAAGUUCGAGCCAUCCAAGAUGCUUCAGUCAUCAUUGGAGCUCAUGGGGCAGGUCUAACUCACAUAAUAUCUGCAAGACCAAAAACGGUGAUCCUUGAAAUUAUUAGCAGCCAAUACAGGCGCCCGCAUUUUGCAUUGAUUUCCCAGUGGAAAGGCUUGGAGUAUCAUGCCAUUAAUCUUGAUGGAUCAUAUGCUGAUCCUAGAGUGGUUAUUGAUCAGCUUAACAGCAUAGUGAAAAGCCUUGGAUGCUGAAAAUUUUAUGGUUUCUUCGGGAAAUAGAUUCAUCCCUCUUUGCUGGGAAGUACAAGGACAAAGAGAAGUCCACCCCAUGUUUUGUAUCUCAGUUUUUGAAGUCUAUUGUUUGGCGUGCCAUAUUCUCUUUUUGUACAGUUUUGGCUUUUCCCACUGCUGCCAUUCUGCAUUGUUCAAAUGGAUAUUUCAUUGAAGAAAAGAAACUAUAGUUUCUUUAAUGGGGAUUUUUAUCAUUCCAAGGGUUUGCUCCAAUUGAUGAUCCAUUGAAGACGGGUUGCCAAAACAUAGGGGCCUUGACUGCUCUUUUUGCAGCACAUAUCUAGCAAUUCAGUGGAAGAUUUUCAGGGAAAGGUGGAUAGAAUAAUUACUUCGGGUGUGAAGACUGCUGGGAGCAAGCCCAAAUUCUGGCACUGAAGCUGUGAGACGUGGCACUUCCUUAGAGACCAUACAUGGGCAUUGCUAAUGUUGAUCUCUAAAUGUGAUCAGAUCACGAGUCAACACCCAUUUACCCUGAAGAUUCCUCUCAUUCUUUCCCAGUCUCUAUAACUUGAAUAAGUAACUGCUUCCAUCCACCCUCCACACCUCAUCCAGGUUAUCAACAUGGGAUUUAUGGGGCUAUCCACACCACUGCAGUGCAGUCCUCCCAUCAUCCUCCAUUUUUGCCUCUUCUCUCAUCUCAUGCCAAAUCCCUGACACCAUUUGAAAGUGAAUUGCAGGCUUGAGUAAAACUGAGGACUUCCUCGAUUUUGAAACAUCUGAGCUUCUGGAAUGCUGGGAAGAAGCUCCAUUGGGUUCCAAGCUCUGACAAACAGAUGAAGGGGUUGGUUACAAGGGCAGAGGAUAACAAAAAUGGGGGUGGAAACUGGAAAUGGCAUGUUAUUUUAAAAUCUGGACGGGUAGUUUUUUACACAGCACCAUUGAAAGUUGGCACCAAGGAAAAAAGGAUUCAUAAGGUGACAUAAAGAAGGCAGCUGGCAAUGAUUGUUUUAUUUCUCAACUGUCUUUUUGUUAUAUUUUUAAUAUUUGUUUUAAAUUUUUCCAAAUGGUCAGUAGCUGAACUGGAAUCAUAAUCAUAAUAUUUUAUGGAAAGGAUAUUUAUAGAGAUGGGCAAAGAUAAAGUUUA